CGGGACACGUGGUAUCCUGUCUGAAUAUGGGGGGACCAUCCUCCAAGGCUAAAUACUCCUGACUGACCGAUAGUGAACCAGUACCGUGAGGGAAAGGCGAAAAGAACCCCGGCGAGGGGAGUGAAAAAGAACCUGAAACCGUGUACGUACAAGCAGUGGGAGCACGCUUCGGCGUGUGACUGCGUACCUUUUGUAUAAUGGGUCAGCGACUUAUAUUCUGUAGCAAGGUUAACCGAAUAGGGGAGCCGAAGGGAAACCGAGUCUUAACUGGGCGUUAAGUUGCAGGGUAUAGACCCGAAACCCGGUGAUCUAGCCAUGGGCAGGUUGAAGGUUGGGUAACACUAACUGGAGGACCGAACCGACUAAUGUUGAAAAAUUAGCGGAUGACUUGUGGCUGGGGGUGAAAGGCCAAUCAAACCGGGAGAUAGCUGGUUCUCCCCGAAAGCUAUUUAGGUAGCGCCUCGUGAAUUCAUCUCCGGGGGUAGAGCACUGUUUCGGCAAGGGGGUCAUCCCGACUUACCAACCCGAUGCAAACUGCGAAUACCGGAGAAUGUUAUCACGGGAGACACACGGCGGGUGCUAACGUCCGUCGUGAAGAGGGAAACAACCCAGACCGCCAGCUAAGGUCCCAAAGUCAUGGUUAAGUGGGAAACGAUGUGGGAAGGCCCAGACAGCCAGGAUGUUGGCUUAGAAGCAGCCAUCAUUUAAAGAAAGCGUAAUAGCUCACUGGUCGAGUCGGCCUGCGCGGAAGAUGUAACGGGGCUAAACCAUGCACCGAAGCUGCGGCAGCGACACUAUGUGUUGUUGGGUAGGGGAGCGUUCUGUAAGCCUGUGAAGGUGUACUGUGAGGUAUGCUGGAGGUAUCAGAAGUGCGAAUGCUGACA
rnacentral:rRNA from 1 species